AGGACGAACGCUGGCGGCGUGCUUAACACAUGCAAGUCGAGCGGAAAGGCCCUUCGGGGUACUCGAGCGGCGAACGGGUGAGUAACACGUGAGCAACCUGCCCUUAGCUUCGGGAUAGCUCCGGGAAACCGGAAUUAAUACCGAAUAUGAUUUUUGCUGACAUCAGCAGAAGUGGAAAGUUUUUCGGCUAGGGAUGGACUCGCGGCCUAUCAGCUAGUUGGUGAGGUAACGGCCCACCAAGGCGACGACGGGUAGCCGGCCUGAGAGGGCGACCGGCCACACUGGGACUGAGACACGGCCCAGACUCCUACGGGAGGCAGCAGUGAGGAAUUUUCCGCAAUGGGCGAAAGCCUGACGGAGCGACGCCGCGUGCACGAGGAAGGUCUUCGGAUCGUAAAGUGCUGUCGAGGGGACGAUUAUGACGGUACCCCUGGAGGAAGCCCCGGCUAACUACGUGCCAGCAGCCGC
rnacentral:rRNA from 1 species